CCUACGGGUGGCAGCAGUGAGGAAUAUUGGUCAAUGGCCGUAAGGCUGAACCAGCCAAGUCGCGUGAAGGAAGAAGGUUCUAUGGUUUGUAAACCUCUUUUAUCGGGGAAUAAAGGUAUCCACGUGUGGAUAUUUGCAUGUACCCUAUGAAUAAGCAUCGGCUAACUCCGUGCCAGCAGCCGCGGUAAUACGGAGGAUGCGAGCGUUAUCCGGAUUUAUUGGGUUUAAAGGGUGCGUAGGUUGUUUUUUAAGUCAGCGGUUAAAGUUUGUGGCUCAACCAUAACAUUGCCGUUGAAACUGGCAGACUUGAGUGUGUUUGAGGUAGGCGGAAUGCGUGGUGUAGCGGUGAAAUGCAUAGAUAUCACGCAGAACUCCGAUUGCGAAGGCAGCUUACUAAUCCAUAACUGACACUGAGGCACGAAAGCGUGGGGAUCGAACAGGAUUAGAUACCCGGGUAGUC
rnacentral:rRNA from 1 species